rnacentral:siRNA from 1 species
UAUUUGGGUUAAUUUGUUCAUGUC